rnacentral:rRNA from 1 species
CUGCUGCCUUCCGUAGGAGUCUGGUCCGUGUCUCAGUACCAGUGUGGGGGGCCUUCCUCUCAGAACCCCUACGCAUCGUCGCCUCGGUGGGCCGUUACCCCGCCGACUAGCUAAUACGCCGCAUGCCCAUCCGUGGCCGGGAUUGCUCCCUUUGGCGGCCUUGGGAUGUCCCUAGGCCGCGUUACGCGGUAUUAGACGGGGUUUCCCCCGCUUAUCCCCCUGCCACGGGCAGGUUGCAUACGUGUUACUCACCCGUGCGCCGGUCGCCGGCAACGG